rnacentral:rRNA from 1 species
AUGGAGAGGAUGGCUCACUCCUAUUUUAAGGAGAUCUUCACAAAAGAUCCAACCCUAUCCCCGGACGAGGUGUUGGAUUGCAUUGCUCCAAAAGUUACAGAGGAGAUGAACAUUAUGUUAUGCAGGCCUUAUUCCGAAGAGGAGAUCUCUAAUGCUUUAUUUCAGAUCGAGCCCCUCAAAGCUCUGGGUUGCGAUGGACUACCUGCUAGGUUUUUCCAACGGAAUUGGGCUCUACUCAAAACUGAAAUUGUUGCUGCGGUUCAUGAGUUUUUUGCGUCUGGAGUUAUGCCGGAUGAUGUUAACGAUACGGCUAUUGCGCUAAUUCCUAAGGUUCCUCAUCCCAAGGACCUGAAAGAUUUUAGUCCAAUAAGCUUGUGCAAUGUUAUAUACAAGAUCAUCUCAAAAUGCAUUGUCAACAGAUUGCGGCCUAUUCUCAAUGAUCUCAUCUCUGAAAAUCAGAGCGCCUUCAUCCCAGGGAGGCUGAUUUCUGAUAACUCUAUUAUUGCGUUUGAAUGUAUUCAUCAUAUCCAGUCAAUAAGGAACAGUGCAGAGGAUCUUUGUGCUUACAAACUUGAUCUCUCCAAGGCCUAUGACAUGGUGGAUUGGGUGUUCUUGGAAAAAGCCUUGGCCAAGUGGGGCUUCUCACCUGAAUGGAUUGCUCGGGUUAUGGCAUGUGUUUCGUCGGUGAAAUACUCGGUAAAAUUUAACGGGAAGCUGCUGGAAUCCUUCUCUCCGUCGAGGGGCCUCUGUCAAGGUGAUCCUUUAUCUCCUUUUCUCUUCUUAUUUGUGGCUGAUGCUCUCUCUGCGUUGGUGGAAAAGGCUGCAAGGGAGAAUGGUCUUAGUGGAGUCAAGAUCAGUAGAGGUGCUCCGGUGAUUACACACCUAUUAUUUGCGGAUGACUCCCUCCUAUUUUUCCAUGCUACAAAUCAGUAG